rnacentral:rRNA from 1 species
GACGUAGGGCGCGAGCGUUGUCCGGAUUUAUUGGGCGUAAAGAGCUCGUAGGCGGCUUGUUGCGUCGUCCGUGAAAACCCGCGGCUCAACCGUGUGGUCUGCAGUCGAUACGGGCAGGCUGGAGUUCGGUAGGGGAGACUGGAAUUCCUGGUGUAGCGGUGAAAUGCGCAGAUAUCAGGAGGAACACCGGUGGCGAAGGCGGGUCUCUGGGCCGAUACUGACGCUGAGGAGCGAAAGCGUGGGGAGCGAACAGG